rnacentral:tRNA from 1 species
UCCUGGUGGCUCAGAAGGAAAAGAAUCUGCCUUCAAUGCAGGAGACCUGGGUUCAAUCCCCAGGUCAGGAA